GGACAUGGAGGUGGACGUGGAGGACGACAUCGAGGAAAUGGAGGUUGAUGAGAAGGAUGAGGAGGAGCCCAUGGUCCUCGGAUGAAGAUGGAGCCCCACGAGCAGGAGAAGCAGAUGCUUCCCACGCCCAGCCCACCUGAGCCACUGCUGGCAGCAGAGUCCAGCGCUGCUGCAUCCUUUCCUCCAGGACUGAGGGAGAUGAUGGACACUGAUAUGACCCCUUUGUAAUUACGUUCUAUGUUUAGAGGUUUUCUGUAAAUAUGUUUUAAAGUUUGUUACCCUAUAGGCUCCCAUGUAAAUAUGUUAGCAAGUUUGUUAGACUAUAGGUACCCAUGUAAAUACGUUAGGAAGUUUGUUAGAUUAUAGGUACCCAUGUAAAUAUGUUAGCAAGUUUGUUAGUCUAUAGGUACCCAUGUAAAUACGUUAGGAAGUUUGUUAGAUUAUAGGUACCCAUGUAAAUAUGUUAGCAAGUUUGUUAGUCUAUAGGUACCCAUGUAAAUAUGUUUGGAAGUUUGUUAGUCUAUAAGCACCCAUGUAAACAUGUUCUGUAGACUGUUGUUUUUAUAAGGAUUGUCCAAAUAAAACAUCUUCUGUAAAUCCUA